UACGAAGGACCCAAGCGUUAUCCGGAUUCAUUGGGUUUAAAGGGUGCGUAGGCGGGAUAAUAAGUCAGUGGUGAAAUCCUGUAGCUUAACUACAGAACUGCCAUUGAUACUGUUAACCUUGAGUACAGCUGAUGUGGGCGGAAUAUGACAUGUAGCGGUGAAAUGCUUAGAUAUGUCAUAGAACACCGAUUGCGAAGGCAGCUCACAAAACUGUUACUGACGCUGAGGCACGAAAGCGUGGGGAUCAAACAGG
rnacentral:rRNA from 1 species